rnacentral:lncRNA from 1 species
ACAUAAUUAGGCAUAAGUUCUCAUCUAAUUGUGAGUGUCAUUAUGGGUGAUUUGCUUAUACAUUAUUCUUUAUAUAUAUAGAUUAAUACUAUAUUAAAUGAUAUCUUCACUGUCACUGCAUGAAAGUUUAGAUUCCAAUAAAUUGAUCAGUCCCAAUUAUGUGGAUUGGUUGAAAAAUUUAAGGAUAGUCCUCACAUAGAAGAAAGUCUUCUAUAUCCUCGACACUCCUAAUCCAAAGCUGAUUGGAAAGAAUGCUACAAAGGAAGAAAGAGCCACAUUUAGAAUAUGGAAGAUGAUAGCUUGACUGUCAAGUGUAUUAUGUGAGUCUCAAUGAGCAAUGAAUUAUAGAGGCAACAUGAAGAUAUAGAACCUCAGUCUAUAUUACUCAAUCUCAAAGGAUUAUAUGGAGAGUAAAGUAGAAUUAUUUGAUAUAAGAUAUUGAAGCAAUUGUUCCAUGCC